rnacentral:rRNA from 1 species
UCAAAGGAGACUGCCAGUGAUAAACUGGAGGAAGGUGGGGAUGACGUCAAGUCAUCAUGGCCCUUACGAGUAGGGCUACACACGUGCUACAAUGGCGCAUACAAAGAGAAGCGACCUCGCGAGAGCAAGCGGACCUCAUAAAGUGCGUCGUAGUCCGGAUUGGAGUCUGCAACUCGACUCCAUGAAGUCGGAAUCGCUAGUAAUCGUGGAUCAGAAUGCCACGGUGAAUACGUUCCCGGGCCUUGUACACACCGCCCGUCACACCAUGGGAGUGGGUUGCAAAAGAAGUAGGUAGCUUAACCUUCGGGAGGGCGCUUACCACUUUGUGAUUCAUGACUGGGGUGAAGUCGUAACAAGGUAACCGUAGGGGAACCUGCGGCUGGAUCACCUCCUU